CUCUUCGGGGAUGAUUAAACCGGCGCACGGGUGAGUAACACGUGAGUGACCUGCCUUUUAGACUGGAACAACUUACCGAAAGGUGAGCUAAUGCCGGAUGAGUUAUAUAAGUGCAUGUUUAUAUAGGAAAAGUUGGGGAGACCUGACGCUGAAAGAUGGACUCGCGUCCCAUUAGCUAGUUGGUAGGGUAAUGGCCUACCAAGGCGACGAUGGGUAGCCGGCCUGAGAGGGUGGCCGGCCACACUGGGACUGAGACACGGCCCAGACUCCUACGGGAGGCAGCAGUGGGGAAUUUUGCGCAAUGCUCGUAAGAGUGACGCAGCGACGCCGCGUGAAUGACGAAGGCCUUCGGGUCGUAAAGUUCUUUCGACAGGGAAGAAAAUGCCUAUAAGUAACUGUGUAUGUAUUGACGGUACCUGUAUAAGCAGCCCCGGCUAACUCCGUGCCAGCAGCCGCGGUAAUACGGAGGGGGCGAGCGUUGUUCGGAGUGACUGGGCGUAAAGAGCACGUAGGCGGUGUUGUAAGUCAUUAGUCAAAGACUAGAGCUCAACUUUAGUAAGGCUAGUGAUACUAUAAUACUAGAGUAUCAGAGAGGAUUGCAGAAUUCCUGGUGUAGCGGUGAAAUGCGUAGAUAUCAGGAGGAAUACCGUUAGCGAAGGCGGCAGUCUGGCUGGAAACUGACGCUGAGGUGCGAAAGCGUGGGUAGCAAACAGGAUUAGAUACCCUGGUAGUCCACGCUGUAAACGAUGGAUGCUAGGUGUUGG
rnacentral:rRNA from 1 species